GGUAAUUCAAGCAUCACUGAUUGGUCAUUAAUUAAACAGCUUAAAAGAAGAACUUAGAGCUUGUGAGGAAAGUUAUUCAAAUGCAGUUUUGAGAUCAUUAACAUUUGAUGUGCCUUAGCAAUGACUCACCUAUCCAAAAUUCAGCUAUAUGUAGACUCAUCUUUUCAAAAUCCAGUUGAGAAUCCAGAAGAAAGGAAAAUCUGAGCUGCCAAAGAUGAUGUUAAAUUAAAAAAAAAAAAUCAUUGUGUUGAACCUGAGGAAUGUUAUACCAUGAGAAAGCCAAUUUGUUACUUUCUCAGCCAAUUAACUUUUACUUUACAAACGAUUCCAACAAGUGAAUGCCUAACUUCCCAGCUAGAGAGGGUAGCUAGAGGGAAGUGAUGGCUGCCACCAGGGUCUCUAUGACCUUGAGAAGGGAAAUUCGCCCUAACCCUACCUGGCAGGACAAAACUGGAAAAUGCUAAAAUGCACCUGACCUAGAAAGCUAAAACUUUGUACAGGGAAAGUCAGUUGGAGACAUCUGAAAAGACCUUGGAGAUCAUCACAGUGGAAUAAUGAACGAGAACAAGAGGUGAGCCAUAAAGAAAGCGAAGGUAUAUUUGUUUUUUCUAAAUUUUCAUUCAAAAAUGAUUCAAAUAAAUGUACUGAAAUUAAAAUUCAGAGGAGCAGAGCUUUCACUUUGGGAGGCCCUGACCCAGUGCGCGUGGGCUGGAGUCCAGAGCCUUCCUUUCCGACUUUCAGGGAAGAAACAGCAGGCCGUGGCCGGGAGGUCUCUGUGCUCUCCAUUCAUCAGCCGACUCCAGAAAACUCCCCUCAAAAUGUUUUCUUGAGAACUUUUCUUUCCAGCUUGUCCUUAAGGGACAAUCAGUUCACUUAUUUCAAAAGAGAAAGGAAAAUGAAGUUUCUGUUUUUACGUCCCUGAGGACCUGAGGUAGCAUUUAUGCUAAAUCCCACAGUCAUUAGAGAUGUCAAAUGAAUCAGAGACCUAGGACUCAAAUGCCUGGACUCUUGCUGCUGAAACGCGGCUCACCAACCAGGUCUCCAAGGCCUCCUGUGGGCAGGGGGACCCUGGAGGAGCACUGGGUGGAAGGGACGCUCCCCUCAACCAGGCCUGCGUUCAGAGUCCAGGGCUGUGCUGCAAGCAGCCCGGCCAGCAUCUGCCCUCCUCUCCCAGGAGGCUCUACCACAACAAGCGGCUGCAGCAGGCUGGGAGGUGGCACUGGGCUCCUGUCCUUUCACAGGUGCUCACCCUCCCAAUUUCAAGCACUCAGGAAAGCACUCUGUGAAGUUUGCCAUUUCCUCGUGAUGUGAAGGGGUGGCGUGGAGCAGGCUGCCUUUGGCUGUCCCUGUGGACCAGAACAGGGAGGUGCAGAACUUACUGAGCUACACGCUGGCCCAUCAGAAGACCGCACAGGCAGUAACGUCCUGGGCCCUGCUGCCAUCAAGCCAUGGGGUCCCCAGUACCCGGGACAGUCACAACUUUGACCUGGGUUCCUGCCCUUUCCCUGCAGGGGAAUUAGCCCCUGACUCUACAGUUGCUGUGAGAGGAGGCAAGUGCCCUGACUAAGCCCGUGGCUGGUGGACCCUCUGACACCGAGAUUAUUCUGGAUGAUAAGAAAAGAACUGCCAAGAUGAAACAAAUAUUCGGAAACU
rnacentral:lncRNA from 1 species